GCAAGUAAAGCCAUCAGGACACUUCUCUCCCAAUGAUGUAAAUAUCACUGCCAAAUCCGUGAUGGGUGCCUGCAUAUGCAUGUCCUUAAGGUAAACCAGCAACAACAAAAUAAUCCGCUACUCUCCUCUCGUCCAUCAUGAUGCCCACCGGAUUUUUUUUAUACUUGAUUAAAAAUGGUUAUUUAUAAAUCUUUGAGUACAACAAGGUCAAAUGCAUCAAGCAUUUGCUGCAAAAAACACUAGAUUCUCAUGGACGUUCAAUCGUUACAAAACACUGUAAUUGUUGUUUCUCCACUGGUGGCUCUUGUUUUUUUUUUUUCAGGAGCAAUGGAAAAAUCACAGCAUUGUC